GCUAGAAGACUUCGUCUACGUUGCGAUGUACUAUGUAUUAAAAAUGAAUUCUGUAUAUUGUGGGAAUCAAAAUUCGUCACGCAUUAUUUAAAAAAUGCACGAUGUUUUCGCAUAGUAAACCAGAAUUACCCGAAUUGUCUUCGUGAUUCUCUACUACAUUACAUGUGUUUUAAAACAUGUGACGUCACCGCAAUAACAAUUGGAGAGAUGUUGUACAUGAUAAAAACUUUAGUUGGAAAGUUUAUAAGAGGACAUAAAAUAUUCAAAGUGGGAUUAAUCCAAGUGAAUUGUAAUGUGUAAAAAACAUCCGCGCGCUAACAUAAUCGCAUAUUAGUAUAUACCAUUGUAAAAAUAAAGAGCAUUAUCAAUCUACAGAUUCGGACCAACAUAAUAGAUAAUAGGAUGUUAUUGACAUAUACAUAGAUACAUACACAUGUUCGGCAAUUGAGAAUCAACGAUGAAUAAAAUAUAUCUAUUAUCUUUCUGCGAUAUUUAUUGUAUUAAUUAAUAUAAAUAAUAAAGUAAGAAAAUUUUGUGACUGCAA